rnacentral:rRNA from 1 species
UACGUAGGGGCCGAGCGUUGUCCGGAGUUACUGGGCGUAAAGCGCGUGUAGGCGGCUUUGCAAGUCGGGUGUGAAAGCCCUCAGCUCAACUGAGGAAGUGCGCCCGAAACUGCAGAGCUUGAGUGCCGGAGAGGGUGGCGGAAUUCCCCAAGUAGAGGUGAAAUUCGUAGAUAUGGGGAGGAACACCGGUGGCGAAGGCGGCCACCUGGACGGUAACUGACGCUGAGACGCGAAAGCGUGGGUAGCAAGCAGG